GGUGCCCCACAAAUCAAUGGCUCAGCAGGUCCCAGCAGUGUCAAUGGCAUUCACACCUGCAAAGACCUGACGGAGCUCCAGGUGGCCGUGUCCGACGUGAACGGUCGAUAUGAGACGCUGGGCGGGGAGUUGAAAGAUCGUCUCAGUCGCCAGCAGGCCUCGCUGGAGCUGAGGCAGAAGGCCAGGCAGGGCGCAGAGGAGCUGAAGAGCUGGCUGACAGACAAAGAGCACAGUUUGAGACUGGGACAGACCGCCUCCCCCUCCAAACCUGAGGUGGUACGUGCUCAGGCCCAAGAGAACAAGGCCCUGCUCUCGGAGCUGGCUGAGCAUUCUGGGACGGUGGAGGAGUUGAAGACCACACUGAGGAAGCUUAUUGCUGACAACCCUGAUUCUCCUGAAGCUGACAGCUGGAGACAACAGCUGCAGGAGAUAGGUACGAGCUGCAGAUGGCAAA